UACGUAGGGGGCUAGCGUUGUCCGGAAUCAUUGGGCGUAAAGAGCGUGUAGGCGGCCCGGUAAGUCCGCUGUAAAAGUCAAAGGCUCAACCUUUGAAUGUCAGUGGAUACUGCCGGGCUAGAGUCCGGAAGAGGCGAGUGGAACUCCUGGUGUAGCGGUGGAAUGCGCGGAUAUCAGGAAGAACACCAACGGCGAAGGCAGCUCGCUGGGACGGUACUGACGCUGAGACGCGAAAGCGUGGGGAGCGAACAGG
rnacentral:rRNA from 1 species